CAUGGUUUACAACCGUUUUUAGGC
rnacentral:siRNA from 1 species